rnacentral:snRNA from 1 species
AAUACGAAGGGUGAAAUCGUCAA